rnacentral:rRNA from 1 species
GAUUUCUGGCUCUGGAUGACUAGCCCGGCUCGAAAGAGUCUGUGUUGCUGGUUCUGUCCUGGCCAUCCUUCUGAAGCGCAUCUUGGCCCUUUAGUGGGUUUGGGAUGAUGGUUCAGAUCUUUUACUUUGAAAAAAUUAGAGUGUUCAAAGCAGGCGUUAAUGCUGUGAAUACAUUAGCAUGGAAUAAUAAGAUAGGGCUUCGGUUCUAUUUUGUUGGUUUCUAGGACUGAAGUAAUGAUUGAUAGGGAUAGUUGGGGGUGCUAGUAUUCAACGGCCAGAGGUGAAAUUCUCGGAUUCGUUGAAGACUAACUAAUGCGAAAGCAUU